UGUGUCUCUGUGUGUGUGGACUAGUUUAGCUGUUGUUGUAAGUAUACAUACACACACACACACACACACACACACACAACACAACAU
rnacentral:miRNA from 1 species